rnacentral:sRNA from 1 species
CUAGUGGUUCUGGAGAUUGAAGGCCUGUAUCCACCACACAGCAGCAGGGUGUAUUUCUCCUCACCACCUCCCACCAGGGUGCCUCAUCCUGCCCUGGAGGGGCCAUUUCUUGGGUGAAAGGGGCGUUCUGUCUCCAUGGCUCAUCAGUUCUUGGCCUCU